rnacentral:rRNA from 1 species
GGGAACGUACCCUUUUCUACGGAAUAGCUCUGGGAAACUGGAAUUAAUACCGUAUACGCCCUACGGGGGAAAGAUUUAUCGGGGAAGGAUUGGCCCGCGUUGGAUUAGCUAGUUGGUGGGGUAAAGGCCUACCAAGGCGACGAUCCAUAGCUGGUCUGAGAGGAUGAUCAGCCACAUUGGGACUGAGACACGGCCCAAACUCCUACGGGAGGCAGCAGUGGGGAAUAUUGGACAAUGGGCGCAAGCCUGAUCCAGCCAUGCCGCGUGAGUGAUGAAGGCCUUAGGGUUGUAAAGCUCUUUCACCGAUGAAGAUAAUGACGGUAGUCGGAGAAGAAGCCCCGGCUAACUUCGUGCCAGCAGCCGCGGUAAUACGAAGGGGGCUAGCGUUGUUCGGAAUUACUGGGCGUAAAGCGCACGUAGGCGGAUAUUUAAGUCAGGGGUGAAAUCCCAGAGCUCAACUCUGGAACUGCCUUUGAUACUGGGUAUCUUGAGUAUGGAAGAGGUAAGUGGAAUUGCGAGU